GGGGCUGUAGUCUAACCAGGCAGGACAGCUGGCUCCAGACCAGCAGAUCAGAGUUCAAAAGGCCUUUCUUCAAAAGAAAGCCCUUGGGGAAAGAACUUCGAACCUCGGAAAGUCUCUGCGGCCCCACCA
rnacentral:tRNA from 1 species